rnacentral:tRNA from 1 species
GGGCCCUUAGCUUAGCGGUUAGAGCUGCCCGCUCAUAACGGGUUGGUCCCAGGUUCGAAUCCUGGAGGGCCCA